rnacentral:lncRNA from 13 species
GCAAAGAUACAUAUGUGGACAUGGAUUCUUCAAAAACAAGUUGCAAAGAAACUAUGCAGGAUUGCUGGUGCCCGACAGAACAUCUGGAUCGAUUUCCUGGAAGGAGUGAUUAUUUUGUGUUGAUUUGUACUUAGAAGAUCACCAUCUUAUGUCAUCAUAUUUUGGCUGCUGGAAUAAUGAAAGGUAGAUGAUUUAGUAUGAGAAAUGGACUCAUGUGAUAAUGGAGCCGUAGAAGUUCCAUGAUUGCCAUCUGUAAGCUGAAGAUGCAGAAAAGCUGGUGGUGUAAUUCAGCUGGAGUCCAAAGGCCUGAAACCCAGAAGAACUGAUGGUGUAAGUUCAAGUCUGAGAGUAGGAGAUAAGAUAAGAUGUUCCAGCUUAAGCAGUGAAGAAAAAAAAAUAAUAAUUAACAAUAAAAUAAAAUAACGUAAAAAUAAUCA